GUCUUUGUAGGUCUACUGCAGGUCUACUGUAGGUCUACUGCAGGUCUACUGUAGGUCUACUGCAGGUCUCUGUAGGUCUACUGAAGGUCUCUGUAGGUCUACUGAAGGUCUUUGUAGGUCUACUGAAGGUCUUUGUAGGUCUACUGUAAGUCUACUGCAGGUCUCUGUAGAUCUACUGCAGGUCUACUGUAGGUCUACUGCAGGUCUCUGUAGAUCUACUGCAGGUCUACUGCAGGUCUCUGUAGGUCUACUGUAGGUCUACUGCAGGUCUCUGUAGGUCUACUGCAGGUCUCUGUAGGUGGGGAGGCCAACCACCUCUAUAACAUCACCACUGAACAAUGAGACCGGUACCCAGCCAUGAUGACCCCACCAUGAGGACCCCACCAUGAUGACCCCACCAUGAUGACCCCACCAUGAGGACCCCACCAUGAUGACCCCACCAUGAGGACCCCACCAUGAGGACCCCACCAUGAGGACCCCACCAUGAGGACCCCACCAUGAGGACCCCACCAUGAGGACCCACCAUGAUGACUAGUAAGUGUCGGUUGAUAGAGACAGCAGAUCAGGAGCUGACUGACUUCACUAGAUGUCUGGCCAUCAUGGUGGAGGAGAUCAAAAGACAACCGCUUAGGAACACUCUCAGGGAGAAGAGCUAAUGAAAGAGAGGGGAUGGCGAGAGGCAGAGCGGCAGAGCGGGAGAGCUAUAUUGAAGAGAGGUGGAUACUAUAGUGACCCUGGGUGGUCUGGCUGACAGGAAGGUUUGACCAGACCAUGGCUUCAGUAGAGACUGUACCACGCCCAUGACACAACUACCUCUGGUGUUUCUACAGAGAUGCAGUCUGGCCUACCUGCUACGGCCGGCCCGAUCCAUUCCCAAACUUGAAGCCCUCUGUCCCCAGCAGGAAAACCCCAGGAAAAAGUGUUGGCUUAAGGUACAACAUCCUAUUGAGGACAUUUUAAGAUAAAUUAAGUUUGUAUUUAGAUGUAGAGUUAAUGAAUAGAAGCAUAUACAAGCAAUCAGUUACAUGUCAAUUACAGUCAUAUGGAAACGCUUGGGCACCCCUCUGAGGCUGCAUAAUAAUUGACUCUGUCGUCACAGAAAAUUAUCACAGUGGCAUGCCGUUCAUUUUCUAAUAAAAGCUGAGUACUGGGGUAUUGUCCAGACAAUUUUUUUUAGUGUAGCAAUAUUAAGUUGUAUGAAAUUAAAUCAGAUGUGAAAAAUAGGCUAAGCAAAAAUGUGGGCACCCUUGUCAUUCUGCUGAUUUGAAUACCUGUAACUACUCAGCACUGAUUCAUUGAAACACACAAUUGGUUUGGUGAGCUCAUUAAGCCUUCAACUUCAUAGACAAGUGCAUCCAAUCAUGAGAAAAGGUAUUUAAGGACAAUUGCAAGUUGUUGUUCUCUUUGACUCUCCUCUGAAGAGUAGCAACAUGGGGGGCCUCAAAACAACUCUCAAAUGACCUGAAAACAGAGAUUGUUCAACAUUAUGGUUUAGAGGAAGGCUACAAAAAGCUAUUGAAGAGAUUUAAGCUGUCGGUGUCCACUGUGAGGAACAUAGUGAGGAAAUGGAAGACCACAGGCACAGUUCUUGUUAAGGCCAGAAGUGGCAGGCCAAGUAAAAUAUCGGAGAGGCGAAGGAUGGUGAGAACGGUCAAAAACAGCCCAUAGACCACCUCCAAAGACCUACAACAUCAUCCUGCUGCAGAUGGUGUCACUGUGCAUCGUUCAACAAUUCAGUGCACUUUGCACAAGGAGAAGCUGUAUGGGAGAGUGAUGUGGAAGAAGCCUUUUCUGCACACACGCCACAAACAGAGUCGCUUGAGGUAUGCAAAUGCACAUUUGGACAAGCCAGCUUCAUUUUGGAAUAAGGUGCUGUGGACUGAUGAAACAAAGAUUGAGUUAUUUGGUCAUAACAAGGGACGUUAUGCAUGGCGGCAAAAGAACACAGCAUUCGAAGAAAAACACUUGCUACCCACGGUAAAAUAUGGUGGGGGUUCCAUCAUGCUGUGUGGCUGUGUGGCCAGUGCCGGUACUGGGAAUCUUGUUAAAGUUGAUGGUCGCAUGGAUUCCACUCAAUAUCAGCAGAUUCUUGGGAAUAAUGUUGAAGAAUGAGUCACAAAGUUGAAGAUACACCGGGGCUGGAUAUUUCAACAAGACUACAACCCAAAACACUGCUCAAAAUCUACCCGGGCAUUUAUGCAGAGGAACAAGUACAAUGUUCUGGAAUGGCCAUCCCAGUCCCCAGACCUGAAUAUCAUUGAGAAUCUGUGGGAUGAUUUGAAGUGGGCUGUCCAUGCUCGGCAACCAUCAAACCGAACUAAACUGGAGAUGUUUUGUAAGGAGGAAUGGUCCAAAAUACCUUCAUCCAGAAUCCAGACACUCAUUAGAGGCUAUGGGAAGUGUCUAGAGGCUGUUAUUUUAGCAAAAGGAGGCUCUACUAAAUAUUGAUGUGGUUUUUCUAUUGGGGUGCCCAAAUUUAUGCACCUAUCUAAUUUUGUUUUGAUGCAUAUUGCACAUUUUCUGUUAAUCCAAUAAACCUAAUUUCACUACUGAAAUAUUAGUGUCCAUCAGUUAUUUGAUAGAUCAAAAUGAAAUUGCUGAUUCAAACACCCAAUUAUUUAUAAAUGGAAAUCAUGGAAAUUGUCAGGGGUGCCCAAACUUUUUCAUACGACUGUGAAUUCCCUUUUACGUCAACAGUUGUCACAAAGUGCUUAUACAGAUACCCAGCCUAAAACCCCAAAGAGCAAGCAAUGCAGAUGUAGAAGCAGUAAGGAAAAACUCUGUAGAAAGGCAGAAACCUAGAGAGGAGCCAGGCUCUGAGGGGUGGCCAGUCUUCUGGCUGUGCCGGGUAGAGAGGAGCCUGGCUCUGAGGGGUGGCCAGUCUUCUGGGUGUGCUGGGUAGAGAGGAGCCUGGCUCUGAGGGGUGGCCAGUCUUCUGGGUGUGCUGGGUAGAGAGGAGCCUGGCUCUGAGGGGUGGCCAGUCCUCUUCUGGCUGUGCUGGUGGAAAUUAUAUAAGAACAGUAUUUUGGCCAGAUCGUUCUUCAAGGAAUUUAAAUGUUCAUAGAUGACCAGCAGGGUCAAAUAAUAAUCACAGUGGUUAUAGAGGGUGAAAUGGUUCAGCACUUCAGGAGUGAAUGCCAGUUGGAUCUUCAAAGCUGAGCAUUUAGAGGUUGAAACAGUAGGUCCGGUAGAGAGAGACAGGAUCAAACGGUAGGUCCGGUAGAGAGAGACAGGAUCAAACAGUAGGUCCGGUAGAGAGAGACAGGAUCAAACAGUAGGUCCGGUAGAGAGAGACAGGAUCAAACAGUAGGUCCGGUAGAGAGAGACAGGAUCAAACAGUAGGUCCGGUAGAGAGAGACAGGAUCAAACAGUAGGUCCGGUAGAGAGAGACAGGAUCAAACAGUAGGUCCGGUAGAGAGAGACAGGAUCAAACAGUAGGUCCGGUAGAGAGAGACAGGAUCAAACAGUAGGUCCGGUAGAGAGAGACAGGAUCAAACAGUAGGUCCGGUAGAGAGAGACAGGAUCAAACAGUAGGUCCGGUAGAGAGAGACAGGAUCAAACAGUAGGUCCGGUAGAGAGAGACAGGAUCAAACAGUAGGUCCGGUAGAGAGAGACAGGAUCAAACAGUAGGUCCGGUAGAGAGAGACAGGAUCAAACAGUAGGUCCGGUAGAGAGAGACAGGAUCAAACAGUAGGUCCGGUAGAGAGAGACAGGAUCAAACAGUAGGUCCGGUAGAGAGAGACAGGAUCAAACAGUAGGUCCGGUAGAGAGAGACAGGAUCAAACAGUAGGUCCGGUAGAGAGAGACAGGAUCAAACAGUAGGUCCGGUAGAGAGCGAUAGGAUCAAACAGCGGGUUAAUUUGUGUAGACUAAAAGCCCUAGAGGUUUUGUAACGUCACAUGAUUUAACGUACUUGUCAAUCCAGAUCUGAAUAUUUGAUAUCCUUUUUACUGUACACAGUUCCCCCCCCCAAAGAGAAUCACUGAAUGUCCUACUACGAGGAUGUGGUCAGGUUGACUCAGAUCUGAGUCACAAUAACACAGAUCACACACACCACAGAUUGCGUGGGGAAGUACAAUGAGCAGUAGGGAAAAUCAAGUCUGCUGCGUGGUUGCCACACACACACUUUAAUUUAGGUUUGUGUAUAGUCAAGGUUUUGUCAUCUGCCAACCUGCUUUAAGAUCUACCAACCUGCUUUAAGAUCUGCCAACCUGCUUUAAGAUCUACCAACCUGCUUUAAGAUCUGCCAACCUGCUUUAAGAUCUACCAACCUGCUUUAAGAUCUACCAACCUGCUUUAAGAUCUACCAACCUGCUUUAAGAUCUGCCAACCUGCUUUAAGAUCUACCAACCUGCUUUAAGCUCUACCAACCUGCUUUAAGAUCUGCCAACCUGCUUUAAGAUCUACCAACCUGCUUUAAGAUCUGCCAACCUGCUUUAAGAUCUACCAACCUGCUUUAAGAUCUGCCAACCUGCUUUAAGAUCUACCAACCUGCUUUAAGAUCUACCAACCUGCUUUAAGAUCUACCAACCUGCUUUAAGAUCUGCCAACCUGCUUUAAGAUCUGCCAACCUGCCUUAAGAUCUGCCAACCUGCUUUAAGAUCUACCAACCUGCUUUAAGAUCUACCAACCUGCUUUAAGAUCUGCCAACCUGCUUUAAGAUCUGCCAACCUGCUUUAAGAUCUGCCAACCUGCUUUAAGAUCUACCAACCUGCUUUAAGAUCUGCCAACCUGCUUUAAGAUCUACCAACCUGCUUUAAGAUCUACCAACCUGCUUUAAGAUCUACCAACCUGCUUUAAGAUCUGCCAACCUGCUUUAAGAUCUACCAACCUGCUUUAAGAUCUGCCAACCUGCUUUAAGAUCUACCAACCUGCUUUAAGAUCUACCAACCUGCUUUAAGAUCUGCCAACCUGCUUUAAGAUCUGCCAACCUGCUUUAAGAUCUGCCAACCUGCUUUAAGAUCUGCCAACCUGAACCUCACAUCCACUUUAGCUGACAUCCACAUAGCGGUUGUUUUGGUGGUGUCUGAGGUGGAACUGUGUUAGAGCUGUCAUUCACAAGCUGCUCCUGGCAUUAUACUUAAAGCGGACAUUGCCAUUGGCUGCACGGAGUCGCAUUAACAGAGAACUCAUGCAGCCCUGUUUACAAGUUUGAACACUGGAAUGUGAGAUGUAAUCUACACCUUGAGUAGUCUGAUAGAAAUCCUCAUUAUUUUAUUUUAUUAUUUUUUAAUUUGAGCAUCAAUAUGUCUGUAUAGCCUAAACUUUCCCGUUUUGAAUUUGUAACACAGGUAGGAUGGGUGCAGCUGCUCACCGAUUUGACAGUUCCGAGGCAGUUACACCUCAGCUAUGCGGUUGUCGGCUUUCAGCGGUUAACUCUUGAUCUGAUUGAAUCUAGGCCUUUCUCUUUUAGAUCUGCCACCCCCAGCAGUUCAUCUGCAGUCACAGCAGUCCUCUGCUGUGGUAUUUAAUUUACCGGCUGCACCAGGUCCUACUACACUGGCCGUGAAGGGAGAAACUAUUGAGGAGACCCAGAUGGAUACAGGCCAUUCAUAAUUAUAUUACAUACGCUCACUCACUCACACCAACAGAUGUGCACACAAACAUGUCGUUGACCUGUAUAGUUACUGUCACUUUGUGCAUCUCUCUUUCAGAUCGGCCAUGCUCUCCACCACUGCCUGACAGCCUCACACAGAAGUACAUACAUGGGGCCUAUCAAGACUGACAAUGCAGAGAUGGGUGGCUGACAAGGAAACAUAAAACAUGCACACACACGCUCUCUCUCUGUGUCUGUCUCCCACACACACACACACAUUAUCCCCAAUAUAAAUCAAUUGUAAUAACUUGUUUAUUUUAUGAAUCUUCCAUUUUAUUUUAGGAUUGGAGAUAUCUACUGUAUGCCUACAUUUCCAUGAUCAAUAUCUACAUAAUUACUCCAAAUAUCUACCAAAUCAAAGUGAUGUUGAUAAUAUUGUAAAACACUAUUGCUUAAUGUGUACAGUUUGAGGAAAUUGUGUGUGCUCUUUUUGAGUUGAAAAACAUAGCCCACUCUCACACACACACACAUUAGACCCAAUGUAGGUACAUUGUUUAUUUUAUGUAUGCUACAUUUUAUUUGAGGAUUAUGUGCAAUAAAUUACAUUCACAGUUAGAGCAACAGUUUGGAGUAUUGGAUAUUUCUCCGAUUUCUAAAAUUAAUGAUCAAAAGGAAGUCUGCAGACCUCUGGGAGUGUGUGCAGAUUUUGUCAUCUGGCGCUGAAACAGGGCCCCAACAGCCCUCGACUACCGUGCCUUCGGAAAUUAUUCAGACCCCUUGACUUUUCCCACAUUUUGUUAUGUUACAGCCUUAUUCUAAAAAUUGAUUUUUAAAAAUGUCA